rnacentral:rRNA from 1 species
AUUGAACGCUGGCGGCAUGCUUUACACAUGCAAGUCGAACGGUAACAGGUUAAGCUGACGAGUGGCGAACGGGUGAGUAAUGCAUCGGAACGUGCCCGGUCGUGGGGGAUAACACUUCGAAGGAAGUGCUAAUACCGCAUACGAUCUGAGGAUGAAAGCGGGGGACCGUAAGGCCUCGCGCGAUCGGAGCGGCCGGUGUCAGAUUAGGUAGUUGGUGGGGUAAAGGCUCACCAAGCCGACGAUCUGUAGCUGGUCUGAGAGGACGACCAGCCACACUGGGACUGAGACACGGCCCAGACUCCUACGGGAGGCAGCAGUGGGGAAUUUUGGACAAUGGGCGCAAGCCUGAUCCAGCAAUGCCGCGUGCAGGAAGAAGGCCUUCGGGCUGUAAACUGCUUUUGUACGGAGCGAAAAGGCUCUCUCUAAUACAGGGGGCUCAUGACGGUACCGUAAGAAUAAGCACCGGCUAACUACGUGCCAGCAGCCGCAGUAA